AGCAGUUAAGUUGAUUUCUUCGGAUUGAUUCUUGACUGACUGAGCGGCGGACGGGUGAGUAACGCGUGGGUGACCUGCCCCAUACCGGGGGAUAACAGCUGGAAACGGCUGCUAAUACCGCAUAAGCGCACAGAGCUGCAUGGCUCGGUGUGAAAAACUCCGGUGGUAUGGGAUGGGCCCGCGUCUGAUUAGGCAGUUGGCGGGGUAACGGCCCACCAAACCGACGAUCAGUAGCCGGCCUGAGAGGGCGACCGGCCACAUUGGGACUGAGACACGGCCCAAACUCCUACGGGAGGCAGCAGUGGGGAAUAUUGCACAAUGGGGGAAACCCUGAUGCAGCGACGCCGCGUGAGCGAAGAAGUAUUUCGGUAUGUAAAGCUCUAUCAGCAGGGAAGAUAAUGACGGUACCUGACUAAGAAGCCCCGGCUAACUACGUGCCAGCAGCCGCGGUAAUACGUAGGGGGCAAGCGUUAUCCGGAUUUACUGGGUGUAAAGGGAGCGUAGACGGCAAGGCAAGUCUGAUGUGAAAACCCAGGGCUUAACCCUGGGACUGCAUUGGAAACUGUCUGGCUCGAGUGCCGGAGAGGUAAGCGGAAUUCCUAGUGUAGCGGUGAAAUGCGUAGAUAUUAGGAAGAACACCAGUGGCGAAGGCGGCUUACUGGACGGUAACUGACGUUGAGGCUCGAAAGCGUGGGGAGCAAACAGGAUUAGAUACCCUGGUAGUCCACGCCGUANACGAUGAAUGCUAGGUGUUGGGG
rnacentral:rRNA from 1 species